ACUCCUACGGGAGGCAGCAGUGGGGAAUAUUGGACAAUGGGCGCAAGCCUGAUCCAGCCAUGCCGCGUGAGUGAUGAAGGCCCUAGGGUUGUAAAGCUCUUUCACCGGUGAAGAUAAUGACGGUAACCGGAGAAGAAGCCCCGACUAACUUCGUGCCAGCAGCCGCGGUAAUACGAAGGGGGCUAGCGUUGUUCGGAUUUACUGGGCGUAAAGCGCACGUAGGCGGACUAUUAAGUCAGGGGUGAAAUCCCGGGGCUCAACCCCGGAACUGCCUUUGAUACUGGUAGUCUUGAGUUCGAGAGAGGUGAGUGGAAUUCCGAGUGUAGAGGUGAAAUUCGUAGAUAUUCGGAGGAACACCAGUGGCGAAGGCGGCUCACUGGCUCGAUACUGACGCUGAGGUGCGAAAGCGUGGGGAGCAAACAGGAUUAGAAACCCCUGUAGUCC
rnacentral:rRNA from 1 species